GCCAAUGAUGAUAGUAUUUGGUUUACCGAAAUGCAGGUUUAUGGUAAACUUGCAUAUUUGUCGAAAUCCAUGAACUAGGACGGUCUGAGGC